UCUGUAGCUCAGGUGGUAGAGCAACGGACUGAAAAUCCGUGUGUCGUUGGUUCGACUCCAACCGGA
rnacentral:tRNA from 1 species